rnacentral:lncRNA from 1 species
ACUACAGGGCAAACUGUAGAGAGUUGCUCUCUAAUUGACAUUGAAUCCCAAGCUCUGUGUAUUCUGUGUAUUCUUUCAGUAGAGAUCCUUGAGGAAGCUGUGGUGCCUACUACAGGAGAUGGCAACCCCAUGUGAAGGCUGCUGCUUGGUCCCAGGAGCCGUAUGGCUGCUGGCAGCGAGACGUGGAAUCCAGGCAUGCUGCUGACACAGAUGCUGAAACAUGCCAAUGGAAACAAAGCACAGUUCUGACUCAGAACACCUUUUCUCCUGACCUGCAUAUCUGCUACCUUUGACUUGGUCAUUAUGGUCAAGAUUUUUCUGCUUGUAAUGAACAAUUGU